AAUAUGGUCAUUUUCAAAAUUUAACAGAAAAUCGUAUAAAACGAUUUACAUUUAACACGAACGUAUUUUAUAAGUUUAUCGAAUAAAAAGCAAACGUUACCCGAGACUUUUAAAAAUAUUUGUUUCUUCUAUAUCGUCAGGUUUGGGACGGGUUUAACAUAUUCGAGCGUUCGCAAUUAGAACCACCAGGGGCUACCAUUAAUUCCAAAACUAUCGACUAUUAUUUUUCGUUAAUGGUCGAGAAUUAUAAAUAUUGUUUGUGCGCGGGCGAGUUAAAAUUAUGGGGUAUUAUUUAAAAAAACAAAUGGUCCGGGGCUAAGAUUAUGGGAACAGUUACCAAAAGGCUAGGGUAAGAAAUAAAAGGGUUAGUAAAUAUAUAUUACGAUUGCGGAGCGUUCUCGGUUAUUAACAGAUUUGGUAUUUUUAAAAUACGUUUACAAAUACGACUGCCCACAGGUUUUUAUUUAUAAUUCCCGACACCUUUUAAUUUUUCAAUUUUACGCAAUUAUUCGAAAAAAUAUUAAAAGUUAAAAUUGUUUAAUUAAUAUAUAGGUUAUUCCGCGUUCAAAUUAGUCUUACGGGGUUAAUAUUACGAUACGGGAAGCGCUGGAUAUAUUAAUUCGGUGUGGAUGGAUGCGUGUCGUUGGCCAAUUAAAUCGUCGUUUAAAUAUUCAAAUCGGGGAAUGGAUGCAAAAGUUUAAAUAUUGGUUUGGGAGGCCCCGAUGGAGGUAUUGCAAUUUAAACAGUAUUAGGUUGUCGCAUCCAAACGGAUACCGGCGUAAAUAUAAUAUUGGGGUAGGGAGGUGGUAUUAAUAUACCAAUAAUUAAUUUGUCAGCUGGUCCAAUCCUUAGUUUAGGAAUAGCACGUAAUAUAAAACGCAAAAAACGUUUACCGACCUGAUAUUUGGAGUUUUAAAACUGGAAACAAUUAUAGCUGGCGUUAAUAUUAUUACGGCCAGGCGUCCAUUGGAGAACCUCAAUAUAUUAGGCGUUAUUAACGAAAAUUUUAAACUGAAAAGAGAGAAAUUAUAAUCGACGACGCGUUUAAAAGACGCGUUUAAAUCCGGAAUUAGUGGACCCUUGUCCGAUCCCUGGCUCGGCCUGGAGCCGAGUCGUUUUGAAAAUAGGUUUAGGGGCCUAAUUCUUACAAAUACAAAUAAUAGAGAAAUAAAACUUUACAUUGCCUCGGGUCCGAAACUAGGAGAAAAAAUCUCAAAUUCCUGAAACUAAAUUGAAAAUGUGGGCCCGCGAAAUCUCAAAUGCCAAAUUUCAGUUGUAAAAUUUAUAUUAAUUGUAAAAAUUCGGUGCUAAGUUUAUCUUUAGUUACAAUUAAAUAAAUGGAGGGUGACUAUUGUUUUAGCCUAUCGCGGAAUCGCUACGGCCCAUUUUUGGGCCUUUGGUUAAAAUUGCCCCAACCAAAAUCGGCAUAUUUAAAACUGGGCAAACCCUGGCCUAAUUUCAAUUUCUCCAUAUUCCAGGUUAUUUUCGUCGGAAUUCUAAUUUCUUUUGGGCAUCCCAGAACUUGACCAUUUUAUUAAUGCAAGUCCAAAUUAACGGUAAAUUGUUUUUGGAAUUACAAUAUGGAGUUUAAUAACGAGUUUUUCGUUUUAAUUGCCUAGCCAUCUUUUCGGCUUUGUACCGUUUUAAAGUCUGUAAACUUUACUUGAAAAAUGCGAUAAUUGUAUUUAAUUUUUCCCGCAUUUUCAAAAUAACUAAGUUGUUAAUAGGAAUCGUAUAAUCGCUGCAAUCGGUAAAACAAUACAAACAAAAUAACAAAAUUAUAUUCUCUAAUUUAUCCUUCUUUCUUUUCGGUAAAAUUGUAACUAUUUA
rnacentral:sRNA from 1 species